rnacentral:rRNA from 1 species
AGUGAACGCUGGCGGUAGGCCUAACACAUGCAAGUCGAACGGUAGCACAGGAGAGCUUGCUCUCUGGGUGGCGAGUGGCGGACGGGUGCGGAAUACAUCGGAAUCUACUCUGUCGUGGGGGAUCACGUAGGGAAACUUACGCUAAUACCGCAUAUGACCUACGGGUGAAAGCAGGGGAUCUUCGGACCUUGCGCGAUUGAAUGAGCCGAUGUCGGCUUAGCUAGUUGGCGGGGUAAAGGCCGACCAAGGCGACGAGCCGUAGCUGGUCUGAGAGGAUGAUCAGCCACACUGGAACUGAGACACGGUCCAGACUCCUACGGGAGGCAGCAGUGGGGAAUAUUGGACAAUGGGCGCAAGCCUGAUCCAGCCAUACCGCGUGGGUGAAGAAGGCCUUCGGGUUGUAAAGCCCUUUUGUUGGGAAAGAAAUCCAGCUGGCUAAUACCCGGUUGGGAUGACGGUACCCAAAGAAUAAGCACCGGCUAACUUCGUGCCAGCCGCCGCGGUAA